rnacentral:rRNA from 1 species
AGUGAACGCUGGCGGUAGGCCUAACACAUGCAAGUCGAACGAUUGGCGGACUGGUGAGGAAUACCUCGUAAGCUACUCUGUCGUGGGGGAUGACGAAGGGAAACUUACGCUAAUACCUCCUACUAUUGGAUGCGCCUAUUUCGGAUUGGCUAGUUGGCGGGGUAAAGGCCCACCAAGUCGACGAUCCGUAGCUGGUCUGAGAGGAUGAUCAGCCACACUGGAACGGAGACACGGUCCAGACUCCUACGGGAGGCAGCAGUGGGGAAUAUUGGACAAUGGGCGCAAGCCUGAUCCAGCCAUACCGCGUGGGUGAAGAAGGCCUUCGGGUUGUAAAGCCCUUUUGUUGGGAAAGCGGUACCCAAAGAAUAAGCACCGGCUAACUUCGUGCCAGCAGCCGCGGUAAUAC